rnacentral:rRNA from 1 species
CCUACGGGUGGCAGCAGUGAGGAAUAUUGGUCAAUGGGAGAGAUCCUGAACCAGCAAAGCCGCGUGAGGGAAGACGGCCCUAUGGGUUGUAAACCUCUUUUGUCGGAGAACAAAACCCGGGACGUGUCCCGGACUGCGUGUAUCCGAAGAAAAAGCAUCGGCUAACUCCGUGCCAGCAGCCGCGGUAAUAAGGGGGGUGCAAGCGUUGUCCGGAAUCAUUGGGCGUAAAGAGUUCGUAGGUGGCACGUUAAGUCUGGUGUUAAAGGCGGAAGGUCAACUUCCGUAGGGCACUGGAUACUGGCGAGCUUGAAUGCGGUAGAGGUAAAGGGAAUUCCUGGUGUAGCGGUGAAAUGCGUAGAUAUCAGGAGGAACAUCGGUGGCGUAAGCGCUUUACUGGGCCGUAAUUGACACUGAGGAACGAAAGCCGGGGUAGCAAAUGGGAUUAGAUACCCGUGUAGUC